rnacentral:rRNA from 1 species
AGAGUUUGAUCAUGGCUCAGGAUAAACGCUGGCGGCGUGCCUAAUCAAUGCGAGUCGAACGGCCACUUCGGUGGCAGUGGCGUCCGGGUGAGUAACGCGUAGCUAACCUACCCACGGAUGGGGGAUACCCUCCAGAAAUGGAGGCUAAUACCGCAUAGCAUGACGGGGAGCGAUCUCCGGCAUGAAAGCAGUAAUGCGUCGGUGGAGGGGGCUGCGUCCCAUUAGCUUGUUGGUGAGGUAACGGCUUACCAAGGCUUCGAUGGGUAGCUGGUCUGAGAGGACGAUCAGCCACACUGGGACUGAGACACGGCCCAGACUCCUACGGGAGGCAGCAGUGGGGAAUCUUGCGCAAUGCGCGAAAGCGUGACGCAGCAACGCCGCGUGGGGGAAGACGGCCUUCGGGUUGUAAACCCCUUUCAGGAGGGACGAAGGUCAGGCCGUUAAUAGCGGUCCUGACUGACGGUACCUCCAGAAGAAGCCCCGGCUAACUACGUGCCAGCAGCCGCGGUAAUAC